UACGUAGGGGGCAAGCGUUGUCCGGAAUCAUUGGGCGUAAAGAGCGUGUAGGCGGCCCGGUAAGUCCGCUGUGAAAGUCCAGGGCUCAACCCUGGGAUGCCGGUGGAUACUGUCGGGCUCGAGUCCGGAAGAGGAGUGUGGAAUUCCUGGCGUAGCGGUGAAAUGCGCAGAUAUCAGGAGGAACACCGGUGGCGAAGGCGCCACUCUGGGCCGGUACUGACGCUGAGGAGCGAAAGCGUGGGGAGCGAACAGG
rnacentral:rRNA from 1 species